CCAAAGCAAGAACAAAGGAAGAAAAGAAGAACAAAAACCCUAGGUGGAAAAAUUCAAGAGAAAAGUGUGAAAAUUCAAGUAAUCAAGCAAUCAAAGGUAAAAUUUCUUGAUUUUGACUUGUGAUCUACCUUUCCCAUGCAUUAUUUUGCAUUUUCCAUGGUUGAAUCACAAGAUAUCAUGAAGGAUUCAUGGCUGAUCGAAUUUAGAGAGAGAAGAUUUGAUGAUUUAUUUGGUUAGAUUUUCAUGUAUUUUAGUGUUUUUAGUUAGUUAGUGAUGUGUAACAUGAAAAUCAAGCAAGAAAAAUUCAUUUUCUCUCAUCACCCAUCAUUGGCUGAAUUUUUCAUGUAGAGUGUGGAUGAUGAUUUUGAUUUUAUUUCAAGUGAAUUGGUUAGAAAAUGAUGAAUUACAGUGAGAAAAUCAAGUAGAAAAAAUCAUAGUAUUGAUGCACCCACUAUGGCCGAAAUUUCCAAGAGAAAAUGUGAGGAUGAUUUUUGCCAUAUUUCAAGUUAUUUAACUUGUGUUUGAUGAUUUGGAGUAUUGGGAGAAAAAUGAAAUUAUUUGGAGUUGAAUUGGACGUAUUGGCCAAUUAAUCGAGUGAUAGAUCGAAUUAGGCCAAUACCGUUUAAUUCAGGUACACAAUUGAAUUUGUGUAGGACACUGUGUUUAGACAAUAAUUCGAACAAUUUGCAUCCCAUUUCAUACAUUAGUAUAAAGCCUAAAUUGGUCUUAUAACAAUUUAGCACAAUGUAGUAAAUGACUUAUUGUGCAUUAUGUCUAGGUGGUGAGCAUUUUGGCAAAAGUAAAGAGAUAGUACCCGAGGAUCAAGAAUCGGAGUACUUGGAAUUCGACUCUUGAUACUGUGAGUAACCUUACUAUCGUUUUAAUUAUCUAAAGUGGUUUUUAUCCGAUUAUGUGAUUUUAUGGAAAAUGAGUUUAAAUGGCAAAUCUUUAUGUUUUAUAAGCAAAAUGUGAUUUAAAUGAAAUGAUUUUAUAAAAUUGUCUUGAAAUUGAAUGAUGGUUUUGGAAAAUGGAGUAAUUGGAGACUAGUUGCUGUGUUAUAAAUCAAGGUUUGAAUUGAAUGGCUUAUGAUAAUAUUAGCACGAAUGGUUGACUUGGUAAAUGUGUUGAAAAUAUAUGAACUGUUAAUUUGCCUUGAGAGGCUGUAAAAUAAAAUAAUCGCCAUGUCAUGCUAUCGCAAAUUUUAUUAAAUUGGUGGGUUAUAAAUUAGUCGCUGCAGUGGAUGGGUUCCAUGGACCAGCUUAUUAGAGGGGCACGAUAAUCCUAUUAUAUUCAUACCCCAGUAUGAGAGGCGCGGAUGGAUAACUCUUGAGGUUAACACUUUAGAGUUCACUUCACGCCAAACCACCACGUGAAGGUGAACUCAGCCAACGCCAAGGAACGACUAUAUUUUCAAAAUAAAAACAUGAUUUAUGCGUACAUAACUUUUUAACAGCCUUGGCGGACUUGAUUAGGAUAGCCCUCGAUCAAGGUAUCCCUAAUAACUGAGUAUGUGAAUGAUUUUGGCACGAGCCAAAGUUUUAAGAAAUUCAUAAGCCAUGUUGAUUACUCGAUUUAUAUGAAUUGAUUUUAUUUGGUUGAAAUGAGUUGAAAGGUGAUGAAUUACAAUAUGUUAAACUAUUUUAUCUGUCUCCAUUUACUCAGCUUUAGAUAUUUUAGAUGAUAUUUGUUUACUCACUGGGAUUAUAUAAUCUCACCACCCUCCUUUUCACCCAUUUCAGGCUCAGGAUAGUCGGUAGAUAGCUCAUUUCGUUGAGAGCUACAAUUGGAUUUGUAUCCUCCAAACUGUACGUUCACAGUCUUUCUUACUUUUAGUUAUUGGGGGCCCAUUGGUUAUUGUAAAUUAAAUUAAAUACUCUAGCUUACUGUAUUACAGUAUGUAUGAAUUUAUUUUGCUUUUAUGCUUAAAAAUUAUUUACAUAUAAC
rnacentral:lncRNA from 1 species